NNNNNNNNNNNNNNNNNNNNNNNNNNNNNNNNNNNNNNNNNNNNNNNNNNNNNCCCGUGCACAAACAGCCCUUGCACACCCACCCCUUGCACACCCACCCCCUUGCACACCCACCCCUUGCACGUGCAGCCGUUGCCCACUCGCUCCUCACAUGCACGCCCCAUGCACAAAUGCCCCUUGCACGCGCACGUUUUGCACGUACGCCCCUGUGCACGCCUGCCCCGUGCACGUGCAUUUUGCACACCCACCCCUUGCACUCCCACCCCGUGCACAAACGCCUUGCACGUGCAGCUGUUGUACACACGCUCCUUGCUUGCACACCCCAUGCACAACCCCCCUCUGCACGUGCAAACACUGCGCACGCCCACUUUUGCACGCGCACCCCUUGCAUUUGCAGCCCAUACACAGGCGGCCUUGCACUUGCAAGCUUUGCACGUGCACCCCUUGCACACCCACCCCUUGCACCUGCAAGGUUUGCACACCCACCCCUUGCCAGCAGGUGCACCCCUGACACACCCACCCUGUGCACAUGCAGUUUGCACGUGCAUCCUUGCACGCUCAGCCGUGCACACUCCCCUCUUGCACAUGCAUGCUUUGCACGUCCACCCCUUGCACCAUUACCCCGUGCACACUCACCCCAUGCACAAACACCCCUUGCACACCCACCGCGUGCACACUCACCCAUGCACUAACGCCCCUUGCACCCUUACCCCGUGCACACCCACCCACGAACACCCACAUUUUGCACUCACCCUUGCACACCCAUCCUGUGCACACUCCCCCACGCACAAACACCUCUUGCACACCCGCCCUGUGUACACUCACCCCGUGCACACCCACCCAUGCACAAACACCCCUUGCACACCCACCCUGUGUACACUCACCCCUUGCACACCCACCCUGUGUGCACGUGCCCUUUGCACACUCACCCUUGCACACCCACCCCGUGCACACUCCCCCACGCACAAACACCUUUUGCACACCCACCCUGUGCACCUGCCCCUUGCACACCCACCCGUGCACAAACAGCCCUUGCACACCCACAAUAUCAUUCCUGCUGAUCCCCAUUUUUAUUUUUAUUUAUUUUUAUUUUUAUUU
rnacentral:lncRNA from 1 species